rnacentral:rRNA from 1 species
AUUGAACGCUGGCGGCAUGCCUUACACAUGCAAGUCGAACGGUAACAGGGAGCUUGCUCUGCUGACGAGUGGCGAACGGGUGAGUAAUGUAUCGGAACGUACCAUUCAGUGGGGGAUAACGUAGCGAAAGUUACGCUAAUACCGCAUAUUCUGUGAGCAGGAAAGCAGGGGAUCGCAAGACCUUGCGCUGAUUGAGCGGCCGAUAUCAGAUUAGCUAGUUGGUGAGGUAAAGGCUCACCAAGGCGACGAUCUGUAGCGGGUCUGAGAGGAUGAUCCGCCACACUGGAACUGAGACACGGUCCAGACUCCUACGGGAGGCAGCAGUGGGGAAUUUUGGACAAUGGGGGCAACCCUGAUCCAGCCAUGCCGCGUGAGUGAAGAAGGCCUUCGGGUUGUAAAGCUCUUUCGGACCGGGAAAAAAUCGCACAGGUUAAUACCCUGUGUGGAUGAUGGUACCGGAAUAAGAAGCACCGGCUAACUACGUG